rnacentral:rRNA from 1 species
ACAGCAUGCCUACGGGAGCAGCAGUGGGGAAUAUUGCACAAUGGGGGAAACCCUGAUGCAGCGACGCCGCGUGAGCGAAGAAGUAUUUCGGUAUGUAAAGCUCUAUCAGCAGGGAAGAUAAUGACGGUACCUGACUAAGAAGCCCCGGCUAACUACGUGCC